rnacentral:hammerhead_ribozyme from 1 species
AUCUAGCUGACGAGUCUCAAAUAGGACGAAAUGUACGUCGAACUGGAA